CCUGGAUCAGGAACUAUUGUCUUCCUCAGGCUUCAAGUGACCAGAUCUCAUGGUUCUGCUCAUGCCAGGGCUACUUAAUUAAGCAAGUUCCUCUGCGAAAUAUAUGUGUUUAGAUAAUUGAUAAUAUUAAUUCUUAGUAUUCACUUUUCCAGCCUGCAGAAAAGAACCAGAUCUUCAAGAUUUGGUCAAGAAUUUUCAUUUUGAAGACUUUACAGGUAACUUCAUCAGGUUCAUACUUACAUGGAAAUAAGUCUACAGUAUUGCAUCUUAAGAAUCCGGAGUUGUUUGCAGCCUAUCUGAAGGUCCUCGAGCAUUUGGUCAGUAAGCAGGACACAACCAGAAAUAUCCAAAAUGUGCAGAACUGAGGGAAGGACCUGGGCUGUUGGAUCACUUGAUGCCAUCAGGAUGACUCCAGAGCCAGCAUCCAUGAAUCCAGAAGCAAUGUUCCAGACUUCCAGUUUCCAGUCUGUCCUGAGAGUUUGGAACUUAUCACUUCUAUCCUCAAAAGAAGAAAAAAGGUGAGUGAACUGAAAAUCAACAACUCUUCUUAGAUCUGUCAGAUAAUUGCGGUCACAAAGCAAACCACACUCUGAAAACUGGGAAGACAGGUGAAUACAGAGAAUCAGGGCUUACUAGGAGCAGAAGC